GGCUCCCUCUAGGGAAGUACUCCCAGCUGCCCACAGUCAUCCUUCUCCAUCCCACUGACCUUCCACCCGUGACCAAUCAGGAGAUGUUUCCAGUUUAUUGGUGAAUUUAUUAGGGCUCAGAGAGGAUGACCUAUCCAAGGUCCCACUGCCAACUGAAUGUAGGACAAGUCUCUGAACCCAGUGUGCCCCUGCCAGAAAGUAGCAGGGAUCACAGAAGUCCAGCAGAGGUCUGCCGCCUUGGACCCCGCCUCUUACACAUUGAGUGUGGUUUCUGCAGUGAUGGGGAAGUUCUGUCAACCCUGGCCUGCUUUGGGACACCAGUGGACCUCCCCAGAGCUGGUGGUGAAAAUUCCUGGAGGAUGCCAAGACAGGAGGAUUGCUUGAUGCCAAGACAGGAGGAUUGCUUGAGGCCAAGUAUUCAAGACCAGCCUGGGCAACACAGACAUUGCAACAUCCCUGUCUUUACCAAAAAGGAAAAAAUUAGCCAGCCAUGGUGGCAUGCACCUAUGGGCCUAGUUACUCAAGAGGCUGACGUGGGAAGAUAGCUUGAGCCCAGGAGUUCAAGGUUACAGUGUCCAGCCUGGGUGACAGAAUAAGACCACGUCUCAAAAAACAAAGAAACAAACAAACCAGCCUGGGACCUCCUCCCUGCUUUGCUUCCUCUUCAGCAUGUGUGAUCUCUUU
rnacentral:lncRNA from 10 species